GAAAGCUCCUAUCGACAGGCGAGUUUACGACCUCGAUGUUGGAUCAGGGUACCCAAGUGGUGCAGCCGCUACUAAAGGUUCGUUUGUUCAACGAUUAAUACCCUACGUGAUMWGAGUUCAGACCGGAGUAAUCCAGGUCAGUUUCUAUCUAUAAAGAACUUUUUCUAGUACGAAAGGACCGAAAAAGCAUGGCCAAUGCUCCCUGCAAGCCUUACUCAUUUAUUUAUGACUAAAACUCAAUAAACAUGUGAUCUUGAACCUUCCUCCAAGACAAGGAA
rnacentral:rRNA from 1 species